ACCUGACUGGCUGGGUCCAUAAAGCGUGUGACUCUUGAUCUUGGGGUUGUGGGUUCAAGCCCCACGUUGGGUA
rnacentral:tRNA from 1 species